GUGCUCACUUUAGCAGCACAUAUGAAAAAAUUGCAACAAUACAGAGAUCAGCAUGACCCCUGAGCUAGAAUGAAAUGCAAAUUCAUGAAGCAUUCCACAUUAAA